GACGAACGCUGGCGGCGUGCUUAACACAUGCAAGUCGAACGGAAAGGCCCUGCUUUUGUGGGGUGCUCGAGUGGCGAACGGGUGAGUAACACGUGAGUAACCUGCCCUUGACUUUGGGAUAACUUCAGGAAACUGGGGCUAAUACCGGAUAGGAGCUCCUGCUGCAUGGUGGGGGUUGGAAAGUUUCGGCGGUUGGGGAUGGACUCGCGGCUUAUCAGCUUGUUGGUGGGGUAGUGGCUUACCAAGGCUUUGACGGGUAGCCGGCCUGAGAGGGUGACCGGCCACAUUGGGACUGAGAUACGGACCAGACUCCUACGGGAGGCAGCAGUGGGGAAUAUUGCACAAUGGGCGGAAGCCUGAUGCAGCAACGCCGCGUGCGGGGUGACGGCCUUCGGGUUGUAAACCGCUUUCGCCUGUGACGAAGCGUGAGUGACGGUAAUGGGUAAAGAAGCACCGGCUAACUACGUG
rnacentral:rRNA from 1 species